rnacentral:tRNA from 1 species
CCCUUUCAGCUCAGUGGUCGAGCGCUGGCUUUGAAAGCCACAGGUCGGUGGUUCUAUCCCCGUGCGGGA